CGGACUUCGCGUCCGGGAGGGGAUCGGGGCCGCAGAGACCAGGGGGAAGCGACUGUUUACUAAAAACACAGGUCCGUGCGAAGUCGCAAGACGAUGUAUACGGACUGACUCCUGCCCGGUGCUGGAAGGUUAAGAGGACCGGUUAGCCUCACGGCGAAGCUGAGAAUUUAAGCCCCAGUAAACGGCGGUGGUAACUAUAACCAUCCUAAGGUAGCGAAAUUCCUUGUCGGGUAAGUUCCGACCUGCACGAAUGGAGUAACGACUUCCCCGCUGUCUCAACCAUAAACUCGGCGAAAUUGCAGUACGAGUAAAGAUGCUCGUUACGCGCAGCAGGACGGAAAGACCCCGAGACCUUUACUAUAGUUUGGUAUUGGUGUUCGGAGUGGCUUGUGUAGGAUAGGUGGGAGACGUUGAAGCCCGGACGCCAGUUCGGGUGGAGUCAUCGUUGAAAUACCACUCUGGUCACUUUGGACAUCUAACUUCGGCCCGUAAUCCGGGUCAGGGACAGUGCCUGAUGGGUAGUUUAACUGGGGCGGUUGCCUCCUAAAAAGUAACGGAGGCGCCCAAAGGUUCCCUCAGCCUGGUUGGCAAUCAGGUGUCGAGUGUAAGUGCACAAGGGAGCUUGACUGUGAGAGAGACAUCUCGAGCAGGGACGAAAGUCGGGACUAGUGAUCCGGCGGUACAUUGUGGAAUGGCCGUCGCUCAACGGAUAAAAGGUACCUCGGGGAUAACAGGCUGAUCUUGCCCAAGAGUCCAU
rnacentral:rRNA from 1 species